rnacentral:rRNA from 1 species
UACAGGGGGGGCAAGCGUUGUUCGGAAUUACUGGGCGUAAAGGGUUCGUAGGUGGCCAACUUAGUCAGACGUGAAAUCCCUCAGCUUAACUGGGGAACUGCGUCUGAUACUGGAUGGCUUGAGUGCAGGAGAGGAACGCGGAAUUCCAGGUGUAGCGGUGAAAUGCGUAGAUAUCUGGAGGAACACCGGUGGCGAAGGCGGCGUUCUGGACUGCAACUGACACCGAGGAACGAAAGCCAGGGGAGCAAACGGG